GAUGAAGAACGCAGCGAAAUGCGAUAAUUAAUGUGAAUUGCAGAAUUCCGUGAAUCAUCGAGUCUUUGAACGCACAUUGCGCCUCAUGGCAUUUCGUGAGGCAUGCCCAUCUCAGCGUUAGAAAAUAUUCUCAAAUUUUAGUUUUGUGCUAAAAUUUGGAUCAUGUCAAGGAAGCUAUUACUAUUAUUGUGAUCGCUCUUUGGAAAUUGAUAGGUCUUUGAGUUGCUACUCAUAGAACGUGAUGAAUCUUUCUUCGUUCUAUUGUAAUUCACUCUGGUAGUCCUAAAACUUGUAUGCCUGUGGCAUAUCUUGUAAUUUGACCUGAGAUUGGGUAGGGAUACCCGCUGAACUUAAGCAUAUCAAUAAGCGGAGGA
rnacentral:misc_RNA from 1 species